ACGUAGAUUAAAGUAAGGAAAUAUACAGGGAGUUGGUUUUGCCUCGAGAAAAUUUAUUUAAAAAUGCAGAUAAAUUUUAUCGAAUACAAGGCGGGGAUUUGUUAUAUUUCUAUUUGAUAUGAAAAUUAAAAUUUGAUAAUUAUAGACAAAAUUCAAUUUAAUAUAAAAUAUUUUCAAUUUUCUCAACCACGGGCAUAUAAAUUUAGAACAACCUGUAUACAACAAAUUGUUAUAUUUAAUUUUAAGAAGUGAUUAAAUAAGACUCAAGUGAAAUCGUUAAUAGGUCAUUAUCGUUGUUCGCGGAAGGAUCGGUCAUUAGCCGAUGCUAAUUAAGACUAAGUGGAAAUAGAGAAUAGGUCAUUAAAAUUUGUAUAUAGUAGAAAGUAAUUUUAGAAUGGGAAUUAACUAUUUUCUUUGAAAUCCAUUAAGCAUAUUUAGAAAGUUUAAAAAUUGGUUUUGAGGAAUACUGCGAAUGAGAGUUGGUGGUGGAAGUUUGAUUUGUGAAUCUGGAAGGGAUAUUUAGAAAGUAGGGGAAUGAAUGACAUAGUGAGAUCAGAAUGUUUUGAGCUGUCGAGAAGUGAAGUCGAGUAGUAGACGAGAGUGUACGGAGAGUGAGAAAGCCGGUAGUUUCGUGAGUGUGGAGUAUCUAUCGUAGAACGAGAGGUAGGCCAGGUUGAGAGUAAAAGAACCUCCUUGAGCCAAGAGUUCCCGGUAGCUGAUUGCAGUUUCGAAAAAGGUAGAACACAGCAUCACGACAGAAGCAGGAAACGAGAGCUAUACGAGCUAGUUUCAGAGGAGAACAUUACUGGAAGCCAGGACGAGGUAUUGAUUGCAGCCAAGGAUAGCAGGAAACGGGUCUUGUGUGAAGACAUUCUCAGUGCACCAGAAAAAGGUCAGUCUCAUUUGUUUGGACAUGAAUGUAUGGGUUUUUCGUAGUAAAUACCACAUUUAAAAUUGAAAAAACAUAAUCAAUAAUAUCAGAAAAGUUUCAUCAAACUUAAAUAGAAUUGUUGCUGAUAAAUCAUAAUAGUUAAAUGUUAAUAAAAACUUUCAAUUGGAAAUCAAAAGGAAAUAAGAUUCCCAUGUAUAAAUGUUAUUUUUAAGAAUAAUAAGAUAUAGCAAAUAUUAAGCAGUGAUUGCCAUUUAAAUAAAAUAAACAAUAUUUUGAUUACAAUUGUAA